rnacentral:rRNA from 1 species
GACGAACGCUGGCGGCGUGCUUAACACAUGCAAGUCGAACGGAAAGGCCCUGCUUUUGUGGGGUGCUCGAGUGGCGAACGGGUGAGUAACACGUGAGUAACCUGCCCUUGACUUUGGGAUAACUUCAGGAAACUGGGGCUAAUACCGGAUAGGAGCUCCUGCUGCAUGGUGGGGGUUGGAAAGUUUCGGCGGUUGGGGAUGGACUCGCGGCUUAUCAGCUUGUUGGUGGGGUAGUGGCUUACCAAGGCUUUGACGGGUAGCCGGCCUGAGAGGGUGACCGGCCACAUUGGGACUGAGAGACGGCCCAGACUCCUACGGGAGGCAGCAGUGGGGAAUAAUGCACAAUGGGCGGAAGCCUGAUGCAGCAACGCCGCGUGCGGGAUGACGGCCUUCGGGUUGUAAACCGCUUUCGCCUGUGACGAAGCGUGAGUGACGGUAAUGGGUAAAGAAGCACCGGCUAAUUACGUG